AGCGAACGCUGGCGGCAGGCCUAACACAUGUAAGUCGAACGAAGUCUUCGGACUUAGUGGCGGACGGGUGAGUAACACGUGGGAACGUGCCCUUUGGUACGGAAUAACUCAGGGAAACUUGAGCUAAUACCGUAUGUGCCCUUCGGGGGAAAGAUUUAUCGCCAGUGGAGCGGCCCGCGUCUGAUUAGCUAGUUGAUGAGGUAAAGGCUCACCAAGGCGACGAUCAGUAGCUGGUCUGAGAGGAUGAUCAGCCACAUUGGGACUGAGACACGGCCCAAACUCCUACGGGAGGCAGCAGUGGGGAAUCUUGCGCAAUGGGCGAAAGCCUGACGCAGCCAUGCCGCGUGAAUGAUGAAGGUCUUAGGAUUGUAAAAUUCUUUCACCGGGGACGAUAAUGACGGUACCCGGACAAGAAGCCCCGGCUAACUUCGUGCCAGCCGCCGCCGUAACAC
rnacentral:rRNA from 1 species